rnacentral:rRNA from 1 species
GCAAAUAAAAGUGAACGGAGGGUGGAACUUUAGGGCGCACCAUCGACCGAUCCUGACGUUCUCUGAUGGAUUUGAGUAAGAGCGUAGCUGUUCGGACCCGAAAGAUGGUGAACUAUGCCUGCGUAGGGCGAAGCCAGAGGAAACUCUGGUGGAGGCUCGCAGCGGUUCUGACGUGCAAAUCGAUCGUCAAACGUGGGCAUGGGGGCGAAAGACUAAUCGAACCAUCUAGUAGCUGGUUUCCGCCGAAGUUUCCCUCAGGAUAGCAGCGCCGAUCUCAGUUUUAUGAGGUAAAGCGAAUGAUUAGGGACCCGGGGGCGCUGAUAAGCCUUCAUCCAUUCUCAAACUUUGAAUAUGUAAGAAGCCCUUGUCACUUAAUUGGACGUGGGCAUUCGAAUGCAACGGCGCUAGUGGGCCAUUUUUGGUAAGCAGAACUGGCGAUGCGGGAUGAACCGAACGCGAGGUUAAGGUGCCGGAGUGGACGCUCAUCAGACACCACAAAAGGCGUUAGUACAUCUUGACAGCAGGACGGUGGCCAUGGAAGUCGGAAUCCGCUAAGGACUGUGUAACAACUCACCUGCCGAAUGUACUAGCCCUGAAAAUGGAUGGCGCUCAAGCGUCCCACCCAUACCUCGCCCCCUGCGCAGGAUCGUCGCGCAGGGGAGUAGGCGGACGCGGGGGUCAGUGACGAAGCGUAGGGCGGAGCCCCGUCGCGG